GACGAACGCUGGCGGCGUGCCUAAUACAUGCAAGUAGAACGCUGAAGAGAGGAGCUUGCUCUUCUUGGAUGAGUUGCGAACGGGUGAGUAACGCGUAGGUAACCUGCCUUGUAGCGGGGGAUAACUAUUGGAAACGAUAGCUAAUACCGCAUAACAAUGGAUGAACCAUGUCAUUUAUUUGAAAGGGGCAAAUGCUCCACUACAAGAUGGACCUGCGUUGUAUUAGCUAGUAGGUGAGGUAACGGCUCACCUAGGCGACGAUACAUAGCCGACCUGAGAGGGUGAUCGGCCACACUGGGACUGAGACACGGCCCAGACUCCUACGGGAGGCAGCAGUAGGGAAUCUUCGGCAAUGGGGGCAACCCUGACCGAGCAACGCCGCGUGAGUGAAGAAGGUUUUCGGAUCGUAAAGCUCUGUUGUAAGUCAAGAACGAGUGUGAGAGUGGAAAGUUCACACUGUGACGGUAGCUUACCAGAAAGGGACGGCUAACUACGUG
rnacentral:rRNA from 1 species